AUUGAACGCUGGCGGCAUGCCUUACACAUGCAAGUCGAACGGUAACGGGCCUUCGGGUGCCGACGAGUGGCGAACGGGUGCGUAAUACAUCGGAACGUGUCCGAUCGUGGGGGAUAACGAGGCGAAAGCUUUGCUAAUACCGCAUACGAUCUACGGAUGAAAGCAGGGGACCGCAAGGCCUUGCGCGGACGGUGCGGCCGAUGGCAGAUUAGGUAGUUGGUGGGGUAAAAGCUUACCAAGCCGACGAUCUGUAGCUGGUCUGAGAGGAUGAUCAGCCACACUGGAACUGAGACACGGCCCAGACUCCUACGGGAGGCAGCAGUGGGGAAUUUUGGACAAUGGGCGCAAGCCUGAUCCAGCCAUGCCGCGUGCGUGAUGAAGGCCUUCGGGUUGUAAACUGCUUUUGUACGGAAAGAAAAGCCUUCUUUUAAUACAGGAGGGUCAUGACGGUACCGUAAGAAUAAGCACCGGCUAACUACGUG
rnacentral:rRNA from 1 species